UUCUGUCGCAAUUCUCCUCCUGUGUAUACUUAGCAAAGACAGCAAGGUACUGUGGCUGGACCUGGACGGACACGGAUAUAUGAAAGAUUUCAUGUUUGUGCUUCCUUUUGUUGUGAAUUCGAAACUAGUUCGAAAAAAAAAAAAAAAAAAA
rnacentral:ribozyme from 13 species